GGAUCGUGCAGGGAUUGACGGGGCUGAAGGCGCGAUUAGGUUUGACCUGCCGGCGGAUUGUUUUAUCGCCGGUGCCCGAUCGAUGAUUCUUCUUCCUGUACUAUUUUUAUGGGCGGGAGAUGGAGUCAACUCUUGCGCGAUCUUAUCCUGCAUUUUAGUAUUACUCGGUUUGCAAGUCUUUAAACUCAAUUUUCUGUCUGUAGUCGCGAUGUUUUCCAAUAAAACGGGGGGAGGAGACGCGUGGGAGCCGAGCGUGGAGUUGACAUUCGAUAUGCUUGGUUGCCAACUUGCCCUGGCGGUUUUCGUCUUUCUUUGUAUUGU
rnacentral:lncRNA from 1 species